rnacentral:rRNA from 1 species
GACGUAGGGCGCGAGCGUUGUCCGGAUUUAUUGGGCGUAAAGAGCUCGUAGGCGGCUCGUUGCGUCAACCGUGAAAACCCGGGGCUUAACUUCGGGCUUGCGGUUGAUACGGGCGGGCUGGAGUUCGGUAGGGGAGACUGGAAUUCCAGGUGUAGCGGUGAAAUGCGCAGAUAUCAGGAGGAACACCGGUGGCGAAGGCGGGUCUCUGGGCCGAUACUGACGCUGAGGAGCGAAAGCGCGGGGAGCGAACAGG